UAUAUAGGCCCUUCCAAUCACAUGAUGCGAGCGCGGAUUACACGAACUCGCGAGUGGGUCAGCUGUGUGAGAGAUCAAGUGAGAGAUCUUAUUAUUCCUCUUGAAAGUACCUCAAAAACUCAUGUCUUGUCUAGCUAGGUUCUCUAAAGAUAGCCCUGUUCCUAUUUAUCAGUAGAGAUAGGAGUGGACCGUCCGAUGGCAGCUUGUUUGAGAGAGCAAGUUCAACCCGGCCUUGGACCCAAGUUGGAGAGAGAUCUCAUAGUCAUACGGAAACAACAACAACAGAUUUUGAUACAGAAGAUGGCAGAGCGGACUGCACACAUGGACCUGAACUUCUUGACCACAGCAUGAACUUGAUGAAGUAGUGGUGGAAGAAUUCACAUGGUAUAACCUCCUUGGUACGGAAGACGAGAGUGAAGAUCAUGAUGGAAAUGUGAUUCAAGUUGAGGAGGAACGCACAGAUGAGUACUACUGUUUUGCCUUGAAUUUAAAAAGAAUCAAUUAAUGGCAGUCUCUGCACUAUCGUGCACUGAUCUUCCCAACAAACAGAAACACAGUAUGAAAAAUCAAUACAGUAUUUGAUUGCAACUGAUGUGUAGGGUAAGGAGGCGCACUUUCAACUAUUCUAUGAAUGAUGUUAAUUUUAAGGACGAAUUUUAAGGCUAUUCAACUUGAUUGGUCAUUGGUCCUUUGAAGUUGACUUUGACCCCACGUUACGAAGAGAUGCAUACACAUCUCAGUCCUCCGUCUGCGUAGAGCUCCCGCUGUCUCCCCCUAACUCCUCCUGACCACCGCGAAAGCAGAAAACUCGUCACCACCGAGAACGGUUUUGGAUGCCGAAGGGAGCUCGAGGGCUUAGCGGUCUCGCGUACGGGGGACCUUUGCUUCCCCUGAAGAUUUGGUGUUAUGCUUCCUUGCGGACGACGAGACAUUUUGACAGUUUUCCUCGUGUACUGAAUAUUGUGUCUGCUUUGCAGGAGGUAUAGAGCUAUGUUUGCUGUGUUGGAUGCCAUCGAGUACGACUGAAUUUUUGGUGGCCAGCCACACCUUUUGUAACCCUUGUGUUUUUUAUUGUUAGUGUUCUAGGGGAUUUUUUCCUAUUUGGGGAGGAAAGACCCAGGGAACAGAGCUGGCUGCAUUAUAUGAUUUUUUCUUUCAGCGUUUAAUCCGCUUAACUUAAUCCUGGCCAGGGUGAGUUAAGGACGCCUUUAGUUCAUGCUGACGUUUUGUCCCAUUUUGGAGCUGUGUGAUUCUUGUGUGAUUUCUUGAUUUUGUGAAUGUUUUAAGCCGAAUCGGAGCUACAUGAGAUAGAUCUUUGUGCAGAAACAAGAUGGCGGUUCUCUUUGAAAUCUUUUGUCUCGCCAAUCUACUGUAAUACUCCAUCAGGGAAAGAUAUGGAUGCUGGCAUUUAUUGCUGAGGUGUGGAGCAGAAUGAAAGUUUCCAGAUUUUGAUGUCUUUUAUUUUUGGUAAUAUUUCAGGCAGAAACAGAGGAC